ensembl:lncRNA novel transcript
GACUGAAGGAGGACAGGGAAUCUGAAGACUCCGGAUGACAUCAGAGCUACUUUUCAACAGCCUUCUCAAUUUUCUUUCUCAGAAAGCAGAGGCUCAGAGCUUGGAGACAGACGGCUGGCGUGCAGUGGCACGAUCUCGGCUCACUGCAAGCUCCGCCUCCCAAGCUCAAGUGAUUCUCCAGCCUCGGCCUCCUGAGUAGCUGGGAUUACAGACUCCUGCCCCUGCCACGAGAACACACCCUUUCCAGUUUGCUGGAGAAAUAUAAGAGAAGUCCAGUGAAAGAGAGCUGAGUUUCCCCAAUGAUGCCAUCAAGAUGAACUAACUACAGUUAACCAGCCAGCUGAUAGCAGAUGCAUGAGUGAGCCCAGCUGAGAGCAGUGCCUACAAUAGUUCCUGGUAUGUAGAAGGUAUACAAUAAAUAUUGGCGGAGUGAAGGAACAAAUGGGAUUUGCUUGAUUCUGCUGCAGAAGACUAAGAAAAAGACAUAAAUGAAUAAAUAACUAGUAGAAUGUUAACACAAUCAGAAAAAGGACCAUUUCUUUUCAUUUGGAUGUCUCAAAUCUAUUUGUUGUUUUUGUUGUUGUUGUUUUUCUGGCUGGGCUUGAAAUGUAGGCAUGCAGCCAGGAGGCUCCAUGCUGACUAAUGAGAUAGAGGUACCCAUUUAGCCCAGCAAUAUUCAUACAUUGUAUAUGCAUUCAUUUUUCUCUAGUGACUUUUUAAUAUAUUUUGGUGAAGAUAUUCCCAAGAUAAUGAAGAUAUGUUGAGUGGGCAUUAAAAGUGAUGAGUCUUUUUUUCCAUUAUCAAAGACAAAUACAGGUGUGUGAUGUAUGCAGAGAAUUAGAAGUAGGGAAAAAAAUGAGGGAAUCCAAAAUAAUGAAAAGAAAUUAAAGCUCUCCAAUAAUCGAAAGAAAGGCCAAACUGAAAACAUAAAUCUCCAGACUCUGCAAGGAUUUAUACUGAUGUGGGGCAUGUGGACCAAUGGCUUUCAGGAUGUGAUUCAUUUUGAAAAAAGUGUCAUUUCCAUUGCCAAGUAGAGUUCAUGGUUUAGUGAAAAUUUCAUCUUCAGUCUGAUCACAUGAGCCAAAUUCUGGCCCUAUAUAUUCUGAUGUGAGGAAUGAAGUAUUUCUAGUUUAUUUGUGAGAUUCCAAGCAUAAUAUCCAGGAGGGUUAGUCACAUUACAGCUAAGGUAAGAUUUUGUUAUAUUUGUGUUAGUCCUUAUUCUAGGCACUGAAAUUUCCUUGUAACAUUACUUGAAAAAGCAUAAGAACUAUUUAAUGAAAGAAUGCUUUGGCUCUGCCCAAAUGACCAAGAAAGACAUCAACUCACUUAUAACACAGUCUUGAUGGUCAGACCAAAAGGUACGUGAUUGUCAAUUAUUUUCAGCAGAGACUCAUAGAACAACAAAGCAGGGAAGAAUCUGAACAGGGAUUGGACUUUAAAGAACAAGUAUCAUUGAUCAAUUAAAAAAAAUGGUCAUGGGCUGGGCACAGUGGCUCACACCUAUAAUCCCAGCACUUUGGGAGGCCGAGGUGAGAGGAUUGCUUGAGUCCAGGAGAGACCAGCCUGGGCAAUAUAGUGAGACCCCAUCUCUACAAAAUUUUUUAAAAUUAGCUGAGCAUGGUGGCAGAUGCUUAUAGUUCCAGCUAAUUGGGAGAAUGAGGUAGGAGAAUCACUUGAGGUUGGGUGGUGGAGGUUGCACUGAGCUGAGAUCACUCCACUGCAUGCCAGCCUGGGAGAUAGAGCAAGACCUUGUCUCAAAAAAAAAAAAAAA